rnacentral:rRNA from 1 species
GGUUAAGCGACUAAGCGUACACGGUGGAUGCCCUGGCAGUCAGAGGCGAUGAAGGACGUGCUAAUCUGCGAUAAGCGUCGGUGAGGUGAUAUGAACCGUUAUAACCGGCGAUUUCCGAAUGGGGAAACCCAGUGUGUUUCGACACACUAUCAUUAACUGAAUCCAUAGGUUAAUGAGGCGAACCGGGGGAACUGAAACAUCUAAGUACCCCGAGGAAAAGAAAUCAACCGAGAUUCCCCCAGUAGCGGCGAGCGAACGGGGAGGAGCCCAGAGCCUGAAUCAGUGUGUGUGUUAGUGGAAGCGUCUGGAAAGGCGCGCGAUACAGGGUGACAGCCCCGUACACAAAAAUGCACAUACUGUGAGCUCGAUGAGUAGGGCGGGACACGUGGUAUCCUGUCUGAAUAUGGGGGGACCAUCCUCCAAGGCUAAAUACUCCUGACUGACCGAUAGUGAACCAGUACCGUGAGGGAAAGGCGAAAAGAACCCCGGCGAGGGGAGUGAAAAAGAACCUGAAACCGUGUACGUACAAGCAGUGGGAGCACAGAGCUCUGUGUGACUGCGUACCUUUUGUAUAAUGGGUCAGCGACUUAUAUUCUGUAGCAAGGUUAACCGAAUAGGGGAGCCGAAGGGAAACCGAGUCUUAACUGGGCGUUAAGUUGCAGGGUAUAGACCCGAAACC